AUUAAUAGCAUAGCCAAAAAAUCCUUGUUGUUGAUCUUUAAAAUAAUAACCUCCUUCUUUCAUGUUGAUGUGAAAUUUGAAAUGGUAUGAAGUGUGAAGAAGUGCCGCGAGACACUUACAGAGUUCAAGCGGAUUUAUCAUCCACCUCCGGAUUGGCUGGAGGACUGUCCGGUGGAGAAAGUGACUAAGAGGUCUU
ensembl:ncRNA K08A8.12 ncRNA